ACUCGAGCGUAUCGCAGUGGCCCGCAU
rnacentral:sRNA from 1 species